UGGCAACGGGAUGUGGGCACACGGACCAGGCAGGACGGGAAGGCCAGCAGUAGAGUGUGGCUGGUACGGUCCAACGUCAAAGACAAGAGCUGGCGGGCCUGCGGUGAAUCCUCACCGCAUCUACGGGGGAGACAAACGAGGAGAUGAAAACAUCUGCAGGUACCUCGGAACCAUUUGGAAUCGUGUUUGACCGUGCGCAGGGCGGGGCUGUCGCCGAGACUGCGAUAGAUCACCGCGUCGAUGGCCAGGAAGUCUGUCACGGUACCAGUGAAAAGACUUCCAUCUUGGAGCACCAGCGGAGGAAGAUUAAGAAGACGAGGAAGGAGGAAGGUGAUGGAGAGAUAGGACAAGGUCGGUAAGAUUAAAACCAAACGAGCAAUUCCGCAAGAGGCGGGACCAUAAAUCAUCCGACACGGGCAAACAUUGUGUUUGCGGCCGCGGCGCUUGAUAUUCCAAAUCAUACCUGCAAAUAAAGCCACGUUGGCAUGCCGCGGAUCAUACGGGCAGCGCGCCAUUCCGCUCACGGGCUCUCCCACCAUUUCUAGAGUAUCUCUCUUGAACGAGGAGGGAGAGAGAGGGACAUGUCUUCAGAACGAGAAGAUAAAAACGUGCAAAAGCGCAGAUGACAGAGAGGAAGACGACUCACGGUGUAGUUUGCACACAGCGGGUUGAAGGCGUUGGUUCCGCACACAAACAGGCCUCCAUGCUGCCGGAGAAGAACCUUGACAAAAUUACGGCAUUCUCCCUGCAGAAACAUGCAAUCAACAAAAGAAUGGCCGCUUUGCGGGUUGAGCUAAUCACCAAUCGGGGAAUGAGCGUAUUUUCCGCACUAUAAGGCGCAACUAAAAGCAUUUCAUUUUCUCCAAAGCCGACAGUGCGCCUUAUAAUCCGAUGCGCCUAAUAUAUGGAACUAUAUGUAUGGAAAUAUAAAUGUAACUCCAUCUAGUGGAUGCAUAAUGCAACUGCAGCCACUAUUGUAGCUUCUAUUCCAUGCGCCUUAUAAUGCGGUGCGCCCUAUAUAUGAAAACAGUUUUAAAAUAGACCAUUCAUUGAAGGUGCGCCUUAUACUCCGGAGCGCCUUAUAGUGCGGAAAAUACGGUAGAUUAGAGAAGGAACGAAUUUUUCACUUGGGCUCGGUUAGACGAGGUCAGGGUAAACCACUGGCGUAGAACUGGUACGAACCGUUUUUUUUAUCACCUGCCUGAAAGGUGAUUGCCGCCUACCUCAAGGGUGAUUGCCGCCCUUGUACAUGAGAUAAAAUGUCACCUGUAAAGAUAUAUAAACACCGUUGAUUCCUUA